GUGGCGCUGCUGCUCACCUAACCUUGACACUAGCUCUUUGCACGUGCAACUCCGCAGACUUUCAAAUUAUUAUUAAUUAUUAUUAACAUCAGAGAUUGUUGUAUCCAACCAGCGGUGACACAUAUUGCAGCUUAUGGGCCAGCGAGCGACAUCCAGUGUAAAGGUCCCCCGAUACCAUCAGCCCUGUCUACUUAAAGAGGAACACUUUCCAGUAAUACCAACUGACCCAGGGCAAGGAAUAGGGGUGCAGCCAUGGAGGACGGCAAGAGGAAAAGUUUGGUUUGGCAGCUCACUCUCUCCGCUGCCAAACUGUUCCAGAUUGCCUAAAUCGAUCGUUCCAGUGCCAGGAAUGGACCCGUCUUGUUUCAAGUUGGGGGAUGAGGAGAUCUGUUUUGAGUACAUCAGCAGUUUUAUGUACAGUAAGCCCUUAUUAGGGGGCUAGUCUGAGGAUACAGUCUUGUUUUGGAGAGGCCACUGCUAGGGUUUAACGUGCUGGAAGAGAUGAUGCAAGAACACCCUGAAAAGCUGACUCCCAUUGACCCAUUUGUGAAUAUUAUUGUAAAAUGUAAACAACAUGGGUAGUAAUUAAUGGAUAAUUAACAUUUAUUAAAGGCAUUUGUGACCCCUAUUGUAAAGUGUACUUCAUUAAUUAUUAAUGGAGAACCAACUACAGGAC
ensembl:lncRNA